rfam:Coprobacillus sp. CAG:183 genomic scaffold, scf343
GGUUGCUAAGAUAAAAACACGAACUUGUUGGUAGUCAAGUUGUGCAUUUUGCAUCAGUAACCUGCCCUCCUGAGGUUGUCCGUUCUUAGAAGUAAAUUU